GACGAACCGUGCAAACGUUGUUCGGAUUCACUGGGCUUAAAGGGCGCGUAGGCGGGUGGUCAAGUCAGGGGUGAAAUCUUUCAGCUCAACUGGAAAACAGCUUCUGAUACUGGCCAUCUUGAGGGAGGUAGGGGCAUGUGGAACUUCCGGUGGAGCGGUGAAAUGCGUAGAUAUCGGAAGGAACGCCGGUGGCGAAAGCGACGUGCUGGACCUUUUCUGACGCUGAGGCGCGAAAGCCAGGGGAGCAAACGGGAUUAGAUACCCCGGUAGUCCUGGCCCUAAACGAUGGGUACUAGAUUGUAGACUGAACAUGGGUUUACAGUCGAAGCAAAAGUGUUAAGUACCCCGCCUGGGGAGUAUGGUCGCAAGGCUGAA
rnacentral:rRNA from 1 species